CAUCAUAGGAAACUUUGAUGUCCCCUUGAAAUAACUGUCUACUGCAAUAUAGUAUAUAGAAAAAGUGCAAAAGGGGUACAGCUGGAGGAGAAGGGGAGAAAGAUUAUGAACUCCAGGUGUUUGUGGUCCUAGGAGGAAAAAUUCCCUUCCUCCCGCCAACCUUGCUCACCCUCUUAUGCUAGCUAGUAAUAGCUGAAAGUUACUCAAGACAAAUGGUCACAAACCCCAACUGCUCUGCUGUCACACACUUCCCACCAACAAGCCUCCCAUGGCUGCCCCACAACCUUUCUGGGUUGGCUUUCUGGAUCAAGGCUCAAGGGGCAGCUUGCAAGAGAAGUUGGGGGAUGAGGAACUCCACUAGCUUUCCUUGUGGCUUCUGAGUUAGGCUGCCCUGAGUGUCACUUGCAGAGCGUGGACAGAGAAAAAGCAACCUAAGUCCAGCCUCUAAGGUACAGCCUGGAUGUAACAUCGCUCCCCAGAACCAAAUCAGUGCUAUUUAUCAAAGUGCCUAGGAGACAAGAACAUCCAAUGCCAGAAAAACGAAAAUCUAGCUGACCCCCUUCUGAGAAAACAUAGCAAAUCCAUUUCAUACGAACUAACAAACUUUUAGUCAAACCACACAAGAGGAGGACCCAUACACUCCUGCCUAGCAGGAGGUAGCGGCGGCGCCCAGAAGUGCCAGUGCCCAGAAGUGCCAAAACUGGCCGUAGGGGUGAGGGGAGGAAAGUUGCAAGUAGAGAGACAGCAGCCACUGACUUGAGAGGUUGGUCACAGCAGCAGCUGAAAAGCCACAGGCCGGAUGGUCUCCAAGGCCUAAUACGAUCACGGGUGAUAAAAUCACGGGGUGAAACAACAUGUGCUGCUGGCUCCCUCACAGAAAAAAAAUCUGGGAGAAACUAAAGAAGCAAGAGGGAAGCAUGGUUUCCAAAAUCUAACAACAAUUACCAUGAAACAACAAAAAUCAUGCAUGAAAAACUCCAUGGAAA